rnacentral:rRNA from 1 species
AGUGAACGCUGGCGGUAGGCCUAACACAUGCAAGUCGAACGGCAGCACAGUAAGAGCUUGCUCUUACGGGUGGCGAGUGGCGGACGGGUGAGGAAUACAUCGGAAUCUACUUUUUCGUGGGGGAUAACGUAGGGAAACUUACGCUAAUACCGCAUACGACCUACGGGUGAAAGCAGGGGAUCUUCGGACCUUGCGCGAUUGAAUGAGCCGAUGUCGGAUUAGCUAGUUGGCGGGGUAAAGGCCCACCAAGGCGACGAUCCGUAGCUGGUCUGAGAGGAUGAUCAGCCACACUGGAACUGAGACGCGGUCCAGACUCCUACGAGAGGCAGCAGUGGGGAAUAUUGGACAAUGGGCGCAAGCCUGAUCCAGCCGUACCGCGUGGGUGAAGAAGGCCUUCGGGUUGUAAAGCCCUUUUGUUGGGAAAGAAAAGCAGCAGGUUAAUACCCCGCUGUUCUGACGGUACCCAAAGAAUAAGCACCGGCUAACUUCGUG